UAAUGCCAUACCGCCAAGCUUACAACAUCAUACUUGUCGCGCCGAAAUGAAGAAAAUAACGUAACAUGUUUUCAGCAUUUAGGAAAUUCUGAUUUCCACGAUCAUUUUAUUCCGAUUGCUAAUAACGAAUUUGUGUACCCGAAUCAAUUUUAUUAUUCUAUUGUAUUUAAUCAGUUUGAACAAUGGUGCCUUUGUGUAUUGCUAAAAGCUGUGUUAACUCCUAAAGGAAGACAAAACAAAGUGACUGUCAUUUGCAUAGGUACCCAAAUGAUAUAUAACGUAGUAAUCAAUGGUUAACAAAUUGCAAAUUAUUUGAUCUUCGAGGCAGGUUGGAAGAUUUUAUUUACAAAAAUUAUCGAAUAUGUAGUAAACAUUUUAAUGCUAAUUCAUUAAGUAAUAAUGAAAAGACAAGAUUAUUACCAACAGCAACACCUACAGAGUUUGCAGAGAUUGAGCUGCCUAUGGUUGAUACUGUUUAAGUGUCCAUUGAAAAUGAUACUUUUCUUGUCGAACCAAGAUAUUCGUGUACACCUUCAAAAUCAGAUGUUUCAGAAAGUUCAAAAUCUACUCAAAAUACCCAGCUGCUAUCUGUCAACGCGCCUAGAAAAUGUCUAUUAAUUAUAAGAAUUUAAAUCCUUUAACAAAAUUUACCUAUUAUA